rnacentral:lncRNA from 1 species
UUAAGGUGGCACGGUAGUAUUUGCAUUCCAGAAUUUAGGUUGCUCUUUUGUGUACCCUACUUAGGUAAAUGUAUCUAAACAGUGUGAUUGGACAAAAAAUACAGUAUCAACUGAACAUACUUUCCCAAACUGAGUGAUGAAUCAGGUGUAGAAAAAUAUGAAAUAAUUUUACAUACAGAUGAAAAUGAAUUUUUGAGAAUUUUUUUUAAAUUUUGUAUUCACUGCACCGUAAAAGACCUAAAAGUACUAGUGGCCUUAGGUUUUUAAAAAUAGCAAAAAAAGUAAACGGUCAUGAUACAUAUUCAAAUUCAUUUCUGAAUAGUAAAAUGAAAGUACUUCAAUUAACUGUGAAUGUAGAAUUUUUUGCAGUGUUAGAAAGUGGUGAAAAUUUUAAAAAGGCUAUCAUUAUCCCUUAUGGGCCAGGAAAUACUACCGUGCCACC